rnacentral:RNase_P_RNA from 1 species
GAGUCGGCCAGGCAGUCGCUGCAUCAUAUGACAGAUGUGGAGGAAAGUCCGGGCUUCACAGGGCAGGGUGCCAGGUAACCCCUGGGCGGUUGGGCGGAAACGCCCCACCGACGGCCAGUGCAGCAGAAAAUAUACCGCCGAUGGCCUUUGGGCACAGGUAAGGUUGAAAUGGUGCGGUAAGAGCGCACCGCGUCUGGGGCAACCCGGGCGGCACGGUAAACCCCACUCGAAGCAAGGCCAAAUAGGGAUGCCACAGCGUGGCCCGCGCUGCAUCCGGGUAGGCCGCUACAGGUGGUUGGUGACAACCAUCGCAGAUGAAUGACUGUCCACGACAGAACCCGGCUUAUCGGCCGGCUCU